rnacentral:lncRNA from 1 species
UAUAAAAUAAAUAAAAGCCACAAAGCCACGUUUAUUGACUCGCCAGGCGAGGAAACACGCACAAGUGAAGAAAUUCACUGAAUAGUCAGCCGAGGAGGGAGAGUCGGGGAUGUUUAAUCUUGGAGAGGGGCUCACAAUGAUUAAGGCUCGAAAACCAGCACUCCAGAAAUUAAUCUAAAGGUCUGUACCUGGUUGGUUCAAACAAAUCCAUCGUUCAUUGUUGAGGAAAGAGUCUUUAGUUGAGUCCAGUGGGGGUUUGGCGUUUGGGUCCACUUCAGCUGCUUAGAAUCAGUUAUGAUGAAACACAAUAUUUAAUUGUGAUAUCUCCUAGGGCAUGUGUUGCUAUAAGUGGAAAUUUUUCCUGUUUCAAUUCCCGCCUGCUCCUCCUCAAUGGAAGCUCCGUAUAUGACACGUAUGAGCAUAAGAAUGGUGUCAAACCUGCCCAGGAUACCAGAAAUUUCUGUGAAUUUGGAUGAUGAGGAUUAACCAGAGUGUUUCUCUUCACCCCACAACACCUGCUCCUGAAAAGGAAGCAUUUGUUCCUUGCAUGCAAAUCAUUUUGUAUUAAAGAGGCAUCUAAUGAGCAUCGGAUGAAAGUCCCCUGGAGCAGGUUGCAUUUCCUUCUUCUUGAAGUACAACCGCAGUAUUUCAUUCUCGGAAAGUAGUGUGAGAACCACUGCUUCGAGGUGUGGUGAUGGACAUUGGCGGCGUAAUUCCCACGGGCACUUUCUGAUGCAAAAGGGAAGGAAAAGAGGAGGAAGAGUUAGGAUUGACUCUGAGACCAUGAAAUGUGGUACCUUCAGGAGCUAUUUGAAGAA